rfam:Gossypium raimondii Chr05_contig_853, whole genome shotgun sequence.
ACCUCGUGGUGAGGGCAUUUGUGUAAUAACCCUUUAAAUCUUUCCCUUGUCUCAUAUAGGGAUUCGUCAUCCAAUUGCUGAAAAGUAGUGAUCUCAUUUCGCAGCU